rnacentral:rRNA from 1 species
AAUGGGUCAGCGACUUAUAUUCUGUAGCAAGGUUAACCGAAUAGGGGAGCCGAAGGGAAACCGAGUCUUAACUGGGCGUUAAGUUGCAGGGUAUAGACCCGAAACCCGGUGAUCUAGCCAUGGGCAGGUUGAAGGUUGGGUAACACUAACUGGAGGACCGAACCGACUAAUGUUGAAAAAUUAGCGGAUGACUUGUGGCUGGGGGUGAAAGGCCAAUCAAACCGGGAGAUAGCUGGUUCUCCCCGAAAGCUAUUUAGGUAGCGCCUCGUGAAUUCAUCUCCGGGGGUAGAGCACUGUUUCGGCAAGGGGGUCAUCCCGACUUACCAACCCGAUGCAAACUGCGAAUACCGGAGAAUGUUAUCACGGGAGACACACGGCGGGUGCUAACGUCCGUCGUGAAGAGGGAAACAACCCAGACCGCCAGCUAAGGUCCCAAAGUCAUGGUUAAGUGGGAAACGAUGUGGGAAGGCCCAGACAGCCAGGAUGUUGGCUUAGAAGCAGCCAUCAUUUAAAGAAAGCGUAAUAGCUCACUGGUCGAGUCGGCCUGCGCGGAAGAUGUAACGGGGCUAAACCAUGCACCGAAGCUGCGGCAGCGACGCUUAUGCGUUGUUGGGUAGGGGAGCGUUCUGUAAGCCUGCGAAGGUGUGCUGUGAGGCAUGCUGGAGGUAUCAGAAGUGCGAAUGCUGACAUAAGUAACGAUAAAGCGGGUGAAAAGCCCGCUCGCCGGAAGACCAAGGGUUCCUGUCCAACGUUAAUCGGGGCAGGGUGAGUCGACCCCUAAGGCGAGGCCGAAAGGCGUAGUCGAUGGGAAACAGGUUAAUAUUCCUGUACUUGGUGUUACUGCGAAGGGGGGACGGAGAAGGCUAUGUUGGCCGGGCGACGGUUGUCCCGGUUUAAGCGUGUAGGCUGGUUUUCCAGGCAAAUCCGGAAAAUCAAGGCUGAGGCGUGAUGACGAGGCACUACGGUGCUGAAGCGACAAAUGCCCUGCUUCCAGGAAAAGCCUCUAAGCAUCAGGUAACAUCAAAUCGUACCCCAAACCGACACAGGUGGUCAGGUAGAGAAUACCAAGGCGCUUGAGAGAACUCGGGUGAAGGAACUAGGCAAAAUGGUGCCGUAACUUCGGGAGAAGGCACGCUGAUAUGUAGGUGAAGCGACUUGCUCGUGGAGCUGAAAUCAGUCGAAGAUACCAGCUGGCUGCAACUGUUUAUUAAAAACACAGCACUGUGCAAACACGAAAGUGGACGUAUACGGUGUGACGCCUGCCCGGUGCCGGAAGGUUAAUUGAUGGGGUUAGCGGUAACGCGAAGCUCUUGAUCGAAGCCCCGGUAAACGGCGGCCGUAACUAUAACGGUCCUAAGGUAGCGAAAUUCCUUGUCGGGUAAGUUCCGACCUGCACGAAUGGCGUAAUGAUGGCCAGGCUGUCUCCACCCGAGACUCAGUGAAAUUGAACUCGCUGUGAAGAUGCAGUGUACCCGCGGCAAGACGGAAAGACCCCGUGAACCUUUACUAUAGCUUGACACUGAACAUUGAGCCUUGAUGUGUAGGAUAGGUGGGAGGCUUUGAAGUGUGG